CGUCUAUAUACGUAUAGCAUAUCAAUAAGCGGAGGAAAAGAAACUAACUAGGAUUCCCUUCAGUAACGGCGAGUGAAGCGGGAAGAGCUCAAAUUUGAAAUCUUCAAGGUUUCUACCUUGACGAAUUGUAGUUUAAAGAAGUGUUUUCUGUUGGUAGUUUUGGUAAAAGUUCUUUGGAAUAGGACAUCAUAGAGGGUGAGAAUCCCGUAUUUGACCAUUACUUUCCAACUUUGUGAUACACUUUCAAAGAGUCGGAUUGUUUGGGAAUGCAGUCCAAAAUGGGUGGUAAAUUUCAUCUAAAGCUAAAUACUUGGCGAGAGACCGAUAGCGAACAAGUACCGUGAGGGAAAGAUGAAAAGAACUUUGAAAAGAGAGUUAAACAGUACGUGAAAUUGUCAAAAGGGAAGCGUUUGACACCAGUGUUGUUUUCUCGAAAAUCAAUUAAAAAUGGCGGGAUUUUGUGUUGUAUUGACUUUAUCAGCUUUCUGCACUUUUUUCCUGUCUUUUUUAAUGCACUUUUCGUUUAACAAGUCAACAUCAAUUUCUUUUGUUGUAAAAGGGUCAUUGGAAGGUGGCUUUCUUUUCGGAGAAAGUGUUUAUAGCCUUUGGCCUCUGCAAUCGGAGAGAUUGAGGUCUGCAGCGUAGAUCCUUCGGGGUUAGAUACAUUUGUGCUAAGCUAUAGCCUUUCAUAGACAACUUGUUGACUAUGAUCAGUCAUGUAGCUUACUCGCUUAUGUCAUUUUACCUACGCUUAGGAUGUUGACGAUCAGCUGAGCGCG
rnacentral:rRNA from 1 species